CUUACCAAAAGGGGCUGCCUUGGCUUCUGCAUUUUCUGGAAAGGUCUGCUACUGAGCUCUGGAACCAUAAAUCAGGUCAAAUUGCUCCUCUGCUUGGGACCUUUUGCUGUUUUUCCGUAAUUCUCAGAAUAAAUCCAUGCCUCUCCAUAGGGAUCUGACCCAUGCCCACCUCUCCAAGCACUUCUUCCUCCACUCCCCUCUCACUGUAGCCAUACAAGCCCCAUUUCUAUGCCUUGGAGAUGCCAAGCCCUUUCCCACCUCCAGGACUGUUUUAAGUGGUGGAUCUUUUGCCCGGAAAUCUCUUCUAGUAUGUCCCUUCUCAAAAUCAAGUGUCUGUUCAAAUGUCGCCUCCCCAGAGAUGGCCUCCCUCAGACUCUGUCAUGUUCUACUUGAGCUUCUAUGAAGGAAUACCACAAACUGGGUGGCUUCAACUACUGACAUUUAUUUCUUACAGUUCUAAAAGCCGAAGAGUUCAAGAUCAAGACCCUAGCUGAUUUAGUGUCUGAUGUGGGCCCACUUCGUGGUUUACAAACUUGCAAACAGUCAUCUCCUUGUCUAUCCUCACGUGGUGGACAGCAGAGAGAGGAGGCAAGUGCUGUCAUGCCUCUUCCUGUAAGAGCACUAAUCCCAUUCAUGAGGGCUUCACCCUCAUGACCCAACUACUUCCCAACAGCCCCACCUCCGAAUGCCAUCACAUUGGGGAUUAGGGCUUCAAUGCAUGAAUUUGGAAGGACAGUCCAUAACACACUCUCUGCCUUGUCAUCAAGUAGGGGAAGUGAGAGUGAGAGGGAAGGAGCCAGGACUGAGAGUGCCAAUGAGCAGGUCAGCUCUGCAGGCAACUGGAGCUCAUCCCCUCUGAGGACCCUCUAGAUCUGCAUAGAACAGUCCCCCAAGUUACACCCACAUGGGAAGGAAAUCAGAGUAUUUACCCUCUCCUCCUGUCUGUCAUUGUUUGAGGACUGCUCUCAGGACCUCCAUCACCGGGUGCAGGUCAGACAGAGACGCACUCCUGUGGUCAGAGAACACCCUCAGGCAGAGUUACAAGUCAUCAGAGCAGGGAGUCCUUGGCAUCUAUCCAUAUUGCCCAGGUGAUACGGGACAUUGGCAGUGUCUGCAACAAGCUACUUCAGAAUCCUGAGGGGAGCUGGCCCUGUGGGUCUUGGUGGACUGGAUGCAUGGACAGCAUUCCUGGAGGUAUCGCCAGCUCCUGCUUUAACUCACUACACACACUUGGUGGCAUCUUCCCUCUCUGAUGCUCAGUUUCCCUGACUGUAUAUCAGGGAUCUGGAUCACAGUAGUGUUUUUUCUAAGUGUGGCAUAUGGAUCACAGGUGGUACAAAAGCUUGAGUUCUGAAAUGCAAACAUGAAAACUUGAAAUUGACCUGAAACCUGUACUCCAUCCUAGACCACCCAAGAUCGAUCAAACCACAGCUGACCUGCAGAUUUGUAAGUGUGAAUUAAAAUGUUUUUUGUUAUAAUCCACUGAGAUUUUGGUGUUUUUGUUAAGUAGCAUUAUCACAGCAAAAACCAAGCUAAUAUACACAGUCUUCACAUGUAAAGUUAAUGUACUGUAGGUUGCAUAUUUCCUUGCUCCAUAAACUAGCAGCACCCUUGAAAACAUAAUGCAAUUGUUUAUUGAUUAU
rnacentral:lncRNA from 1 species